AUGUGCACAGCUGGUUCACACUGCGGACGUAGCUCCGACCCCCAACCUUCCAGCAGUCCCUGGGCAUGCACACGAAUGCACACUCAUGCACGUGCACACCCAGCCCACAUGCACACGCAGGCACACGCACGCCCAACACACCUGUACGUGCACACCCAGCGUGAACACACACACUCAUGCGUAUGCACACACAUUGCACACCAGCAGCUGGAGAGUCAGACAGACACAGAACAAGCCACCCAGUUUGAAUCCAACCUUUUUGUCACGUCAUGGCCCACAAAGAAGCUAAUCCCUGUAUGGCACCCAGGCAGGUGGAUAAGGAAAGAGGCUCUGCCUGCUGUCCAGGCACGCUGGUCACUCUUUGAGGCACAACCAGGAACAAUCUCGUCUAUAGAACAUGGCAGUACCUGCAGUGUGGUUGUGGACUCUGUGAGGAGGGGGUCUGGCAGUUUGAAUAAAGGUUGCCCGGUGACCUAUUCUCACAUGCGAACCCCUCACCUGCAAGACCAAAUGCCCAGGCCACCUCCUCACCAUCAGAGAGAAAGGAAGGUCUCUGCAAACCCCCAUCUUGUGGCCCGACCUCCACACUGGAUGCCAGACCAUCUUCCUCCCUUCUCCUCACUUCCUUCCAUGAGGACGGAGCCAUGGAGCUGCAUUUGUUGACCUCUGGCACCAUAGGAGGGUCCCCCUCUCCCUGCCUGGGGCCGGGCUGCAGUUCCCCGAGGGGGAGAGCUGGUGCCCCACCUCUCGAGCACACCCGAGCCCAGGUAUGAGGGCCAGGAGAUGUGGGGAUGCCUGUUGGACCAUCCAGAAUUAUCAGGCAAUCCCCCAGGCAGAAAGGGUCACGGUGUUAGUGGGAUUACCCCUCUGGAGGAUUAGGUGUGAGGGGCUCCUCCGGUGGAAGCCAACUCCCUACCCCCAGCUUCCCAGGACCCCUGCCACAGGCAGAAGCCCCUGAGCUCCCAUCGUCACCCACCCCUGGGAAAAUGAGACCAAGUCCAAGAUCUAAGGCAAGGGGGGCAAGCGUGGGUGAGUCAGCUGGCGUCCUCCCAGUCCUCAGUAAUCGU
rnacentral:lncRNA from 1 species